rnacentral:tRNA from 1 species
GCCUUUGUGGUAUAAUGGUCAGCACGCUCGGCGCGUAUUCGAGAGGUCCGUGGUUCGAAUCUCGGCCAGGGCA